rnacentral:misc_RNA from 1 species
GAUGAAGAACGUAGCGAAAUGCGAUAAGUAGUGUGAAUUGCAGAAUUCAGUGAAUCAUCGAAUCUUUGAACGCACAUUGCGCCCUUUGGUAUUCCUUAGGGCAUGCCUGUUCGAGCGUCAUUUAAACCUUCAAGCUAAGCUUGGUGUUGGGUGACUGUCCGCUUCACGGCAGACUCGCCUCAAAAUUAUUGGCGGCCGGUACAUUGGCUUCGAGCGCAGCAGAAACGCGAACUCGGGCCCGUCGUAUUGGCUCCCAGAAGCUAUCUUCACAAUUUUGACCUCGGAUCAGGUAGGGAUACCCGCUGAACUUAAGCAUAUCAAUAAGCGGAGGA